rnacentral:lncRNA from 12 species
UAGAUUUUUUGGAAAUGGAAAAAUUUAAGUUCCUGAAACUCAAAAAAAUGCUCCCCACGUUUUUACAAAACACAAGGCGAACCUUACGUGCAAAGUCAGAGCCAUAAAAGUGUUUAGAUUUUUCCAUAUUUUAUGCAAUGCUUAUGAAACAAAAUACCUGUAUGGUCCUGGAGGAUGUGGGCACAUCCUCUGGGAUGAGUUGCAUGAGGUCCAAUUCAGAGCAUGCUGUGGGAUGUGGAAUUCUGCACACAGCCCAUGCAGGGGACAGCUCAGACAUGCCUGGAUGGGGACCUUAGGUCUUCCAUGGAGGUCAGCUGGAACUCCCACAUGUGUGUUAUGCCAACACAAAGCAGCAGAUGCAUUGGAGAGCUGGAGAACCUGAUUUCUGGUGUGAGACUCAACACUUCAUGCUUUCUUCAAGCAAACAAGACGCUGUCCCAGGACUCUGCAACCCAGUCUGGUUAAUAUCAUGACAAGAAAGGAACAUAUUCUGAACUUUUCAUUCAUCUUUCCUAAAGUCUUG